rnacentral:rRNA from 1 species
UGGUAAUUCUAGAGCUAAUACAUGCUAAAAACCUCGACUUCGGAAGGGGUGUAUUUAUUAGAUAAAAAACCAAUGCCCUUCGGGGCUCCUUGGUGAUUCAUGAUAACUUAACGAAUCGCAUGGCCUUGUGCCGGCGAUGGUUCAUUCAAAUUUCUGCCCUAUCAACUUUCGAUGGUAGGAUAGUGGCCUACCAUGGUUUCAACGGGUAACGGGGAAUUAGGGUUCUAUUCCGGAGAGGGAGCCUGAGAAACGGCUACCACAUCCAAGGAAGGCAGCAGGCGCGCAAAUUACCCAAUCCCGACACGGGGAGGUAGUGACAAUAAAUACUGAUACAGGGCUCUUUUGGGUCUUGUAAUUGGAAUGAGUACAAUUUAAAUCCCUUAACGAGGAACAAUUGGAGGGCAAGUCUGGUGCCAGCAGCCGCGGUAAUUCCAGCUCCAAUAGCGUAUAUUAAAGUUGUUGCAGUUAAAAAGCUCGUAGUUGAACCUUGGGCCUGGCUGGCCGGUCCGCCUCGCGGCGUGCACUGGUCCGGCCGGGCCUUUCCUCCUGGGGAACCGCAUGCCCUUCACUGGGUGUGUUGGGGAUCCAGGACUUUUACUUUGAAAAAAUUAGAGUGUUCAAAGCAGGCCUAUGCUCGAAUACAUUAGCAUGGAAUAAUAGAAUAGGACGUGUGGUUCUAUUUUGUUGGUUUCUAGGACCGCCGUAAUGAUUAAUAGGGAUAGUCGGGGGCAUCAGUAUUCCGUUGUCAGAGGUGAAAUUCUUGGAUUUACGGAAGACUAACUACUGCGAAAGCAUUUGCCAAGGAUGUUUUCAUUAAUCAGUGAACGAAAGUUAGGGGAUCGAAGACGAUCAGAUACCGUCGUAGUCUUAACCAUAAACUAUGCCGACUAGGGAUCGGGCGAUGUUAUCUUUUUGACUCGCUCGGCACCUUACGAGAAAUCAAAGUUUUUGGGUUCUGGGGGGAGUAUGGUCGCAAGGCUGAAACUUAAAGAAAUUGACGGAAGGGCACCACCAGGAGUGGAGCCUGCGGCUUAAUUUGACUCAACACGGGGAAACUCACCAGGUCCAGACACAAUAAGGAUUGACAGAUUGAGAGCUCUUUCUUGAUUUUGUGGGUGGU